CCUACGGGUGGCAGCAGUGGGGAAUAUUGCACAAUGGGGGAAACCCUGAUACAGCGACGCCGCGUGAGUGAAGAAGUAUUUCGGUACGUAAAGCUCUAUCAGCAGGGAAGAAAAAAAGUCCUUUGGACUUUGGACGGUACCUGACUAAGAAGCCCCGGCUAACUACGUGCCAGCAGCCGCGGUAAUACGUAGGGGGCAAGCGUUAUCCGGAUUUACUGGGUGUAAAGGGAGCGUAGACGGCAAGGCAUGUCUAGAGUGAAAUGCCGGGGCCCAACCCCGGAACUGCUUUGGAAACUGUGCAGCGGGAGUGCAGGAGAGGUAAGCGAAAUUCCUAGUGUAGCGGGGAAAGGCGUAGAUAUUAGGAGGAACACCAGGGGCGAAGGCGGCUUAAUGGACUGUAACUGACGUGGAGGCUCGAAGGCGUGGGGAGCAAACAGGAUUAGAUACCCGGGUAGUC
rnacentral:rRNA from 1 species